GUCAAUUUGUUUGGAAUCAGAUUCUGAGAUUCAGAAAUUUAAUAAUAAUAACUCCAUUGAUAAUGAUAAUAUGAAUAUUAGCCAAAUCGAUAGUGGUCAAGCAAAACAGGAUGAUGUCGACUAUGACGACAAUAUCAACGUACAAGAAUUGGCUGCCUCUGAAGAAGCUAAUAAUACGAUUGAUGUUUAUGUAAUACAAGUAGUACAAGUGAAAUGUUGCAAAUGUUGCCAUCAGGUUCAACUUCAACAGCCGUUACCAUGGAUUCUCUACCAAGUGCAAGUAGACCUUCAAGUUCAACAACUACGUCUAAAACCGCCAAAUCAAAGAAAAAAGCGUCAAAACUGGAUAACUAUAUAGACACCAUUUCUGUUAAAGAAGAAGACAGCAUUACACAAGCAAUAGCAGAAUUUUUUUUUGCCUGCAACAUUCCAUUUAAUGUAAUUGAAUCUAAAUAUUUUGACAACUUAAUAAAAAAAUUGCGUCCUGCCUAUGCAAAAAGAAAACCUGGUAGAAAAACUUUAUCAAGUACUCUAUUGGAUUCUGUAUACAAUAACUUAAUCACAGAAACAAAAUUUGGAAUAGAUCAAGAAACUGUAGUUCUUAUUGAUGGAUGGAAAAACACCUCAAGUAACUCAAAAAUUAUUACAUGUACACUUCAGACAGUUGGAGGUAUAUUUAUGUCUUUAUUAUUUUUCUGAUUUAUACUGGGUGCAAUGUGCAACAAAAAUCUGGAAUACAAUACCAAAUAAAUCCAACAUUUUUGGUGUUAUAUUAUGGUUAAUUGCAAUAAUUAUUUUUGAUUAUCGAUUAUUAUAAUUAGAGCAUUUUUUGUUUAAAUUAAAAAUCAUGGAAUUAUUUGCUAUACACCAGAUUUUUGUGAAAUCCUUUAAAAUUAAACUUUUUACUGUUUAGGUCAAAGAGCAUUCCUCAAUGCUUGGGAUUUAACUGGUGAAGCAGAAACUGCCCAAAAACUGGUUCACAUAAUAAAUGAAGCAAUAGAUUUGGCUAAACGUACAUACCAUUCCCAAAUAUAUGCAAUUAUAUCUGACAAUGCAAGUGCAAUGGUACGAAUGGGGAAAGAUAUGAAUCAUUGUCUCUGGCAUUCAACGUGCAAUAGCCACACCGCCAACCUUCUAGCCAAAGAUGUACAGGAUAAAGAAUGCACCAAUUCUGUUACAACUGUUUUAAAGGAAUUUAAACAAGCGGACAAUGAAAGGGCUAUAACAGAAAAAGGUGGUACCAAAAUUAAACUUCCAUGUGAAACACGAUGGUGUAGCUAUCAAAAAUCAUACAAAUGUCUGUUAGAUAAUUUAAGAAUAAUGAGGGUUAUUGCAGCUGAAACUGAUUCAACUUGUAAAAGAAUUAAAUCAAAAGUAGUAUCAUUACUUUUCGAUGAAGAUUUCAUCGAUAAAGUAAGAAAUCAAUUAUCUUUAUAUGAGCCUAUUUGCCAGCUAAUAAAUAAUUGUCAGUCCCAAGACGCAUCAAUAGCAGAUGCCGUGCACUUUUGGCUUGAAUUAACUUUGCCCGAUAAUUUCAAAGAUAAAUAUUCUGCGGCUUUGGCUGCC